UACGGGGGGUGCAAGCGUUGUCCGGAAUCACUGGGCGUAAAGGGCGCGUAGGCGGCGCGGGGAGUCAACGGUGAAAGCUCGGCGCUCAACGCCGAGUCGGCCGUCGAUACUCCCGUGCUUGAGCACUGUAGAGGCAGGUGGAAUUCCGGGUGUAGCGGUGGAAUGCGUAGAGAUCCGGAAGAACACCGGUGGCGAAGGCGGCCUGCUGGGCAGUAGCUGACGCUGAGGCGCGACAGCGUGGGGAGCAAACAGG
rnacentral:rRNA from 1 species